UAAUAAAUUAUUGACUCAUUUAAAAAAUAUUAAUAAAUUAAUGACUCAGCUAAAACUAAUUAAAACAUAACAAAUAAGCAAAAUUACCAAAAAUAAUUGAAAUCAUGACAAAUAAGCAAAAUCAAUUCAUAAAUUAAUUACUUAGCUAAAAACUAAUAAUAAUUUAAUGACUAUGCUAUAACCUAAUAAAAAUAUGACAAAUAAGCAAAAGUAACUAAAAUCAUGGAGAACAUGACAUAUAAAAAAUAUCAAAUAAUUAUAUAUAUGGUUACAAAUUUCAUAGUUAUAUUAUUUAAAUUAAUAAAUUAUUGACUCAGAAAAAACUAUUAAUAACUUAAUGACUCAGCUUAAACAUAACUAAAAAUAUGAC
rnacentral:lncRNA from 1 species